AUGCUUUUGAGGACACUUCCUGAGUAAUCCUUCGAAUCGUUCCCAAGCCUCGUACAGAGUUUCUCUUUCUUUUUGUUCAAAAGAGGUGAUUUCCGCUUUGAGUCU